rnacentral:rRNA from 1 species
AAUAGAUACCCGGGUAGUCCACGCCGUAAACGAUGAAUACUAGGUGUGGGGGUUGUCAUGACCUCCGUGCCGCCGCUAACGCAUUAAGUAUUCCGCCUGGGGAGUACGGUCGCAAGAUUAAAACUCAAAGGAAUUGACGGGGGCCCGCACAAGCAGCGGAGCAUGUGGUUUAAUUCGAAGCAACGCGAAGAACCUUACCUAGACUUGACAUCUCCUGAAUUACUCUGUAAUAGAGGAAGCCCUUCGGGGCAGGAAGACAGGUGGUGCAUGGUUGUCGUCAGCUCGUGUCGUGAGAUGUUGGGUUAAGUCCCGCAACGAGCGCAACCCUUAUUGUUAGUUGCUACCAUUAAGUUGAGCACUCUAGCGAGACUGCCCGGGUUAACCGGGAGGAAGGUGGGGAUGACGUCAAAUCAUCAUGCCCCUUAUGUCUAGGGCUACACACGUGCUACAAUGGCUGGUACAGAGAGAUGCUAAACCGUGAGGUGGAGCCAAACUUUAAAACCAGUCUCAGUUCGGAUUGUAGGCUGAAACUCGCCUAC